AUUGAACGCUGGCGGCAUGCCUUACACAUGCAAGUCGAACGGCAGCACGGGAGCAAUCCUGGUGGCGAGUGGCGAACGGGUGAGUAAAGUAUCGGAACGUGCCCAGUCGUGGGGGAUAACGUAGCGAAAGUUACGCUAAUACCGCCUACGAUCUAUGGAUGAAAGCGGGGGAUCGCAAGACCUCGCGCGAUUGGAGCGGCCGAUAUCAGAUUAGGUAGUUGGUGGGGUAAAGGCUCACCAAGCCGACGAUCUGUAGCUGGUCUGAGAGGACGACCAGCCACACUGGGACUGAGACACGGCCCAGACUCCUACGGGAGGCAGCAGUGGGGAAUUUUGGACAAUGGGCGCAAGCCUGAUCCAGCCAUGCCGCGUGCAGGAUGAAGGCCUUCGGGUUGUAAACUGCUUUUGUACGGAACGAAAAGGUUUGACUUAAUACGUUGGACUCAUGACGGUACCGUAAGAAUAAGCACCGGCUAACUACGUGCCAGCAGCCGCCGCAG
rnacentral:rRNA from 1 species